CUGAAAUGAUUGCCUGGAGCUGCUGUACCUAUCCUGCAGAGGGAACAGCAAGCAUUUGGAAUCUGGACCUUGUGGGUGGGAUCAGUCUGAGGUACGCUUAGCUAAGGUUCUCUACGUAAUGGCACCAGUAAUCUAAAACCUGUAUGGCAUAUCAGAGGGGAACCACCAAAGGACAAACUACUUGCGCUGUUUUCCAAUGUCAGUGUUCUCAUACACUCUUGUUUUUGACAGGAU